rnacentral:misc_RNA from 1 species
GAUGAAGAACGUAGCGAAAUGCGAUAAGUAAUGUGAAUUGCAGAAUUCAGUGAAUCAUCGAAUCUUUGAACGCACCUUGCACCCUUUGGAAUUCCAAAGGGUAUGCUCGUUUGAGUGUCAUUGUACUCUCACACUCUCCGAUCCUUUGGAUUUGGGGAGCGGUGGACUUGGGUGUUUGCUGCUUUCAUUGUGGCUCACCUCAAAUGUGUCAGUGCAUCUCUUGAUUGGACAUAGUACGGCGUGUUAUGUGUCUUCGCCGGCACCUCAUAAGAGGGUGGCCGAUCAGGAGCUCUGUGCUUUCAAACUGUCUUCGGACAAUCUCUGACAACUUGACCUCAAAUCGAGUAGGACUACCCGCUGAACUUAAGCAUAUCAAUAAGCGGAGGA